ACGAGUCGCCUAUAGUCUUGUAGUGUUACAAGCGACACCUAUACAAAGCAGCCUAAAACAAAAACCCUAGAACUUUUUUGUUCCUUCAUCCCUUAGUCUUUCUGUUCCUUCCUCCCAUAGUCCCAUCGCCUCCCUCUUCCUCUCAUUGACUCACCUUACUCCUCCAUUCUCUUUCCUCUUGAUCUCUUCCCCUCGCAAACUCACCGACAACGACUACCACCACUUGUCUCAUUUAGUGUCAGUGGUGUCCCACCACCUACUCCUCCGCCUGUACACUUCCCUCUCUCACCAAAUUGAUCGGCGACGUAAAGACUGAGCUCCCGUUCUCCGAGUUCUUUACUACUUUACUUCUAUUUGUUAAGGUGGAGAUAUCACUUGUGGAUGUGAGUGAUAAGGUGGUGGCUAAAUUUCGUUGUGGGUCUGCCACAUUAGAAAUUAUUCUUGCUUUUUGGGUGCACGGUCCAUUUGGCUUUGGAUUUAGUUGAUGAGAUAUGUGAAGCAGGUUUAUCUGUAUCCAUGGGAGCACUCAAUGCCAUGUGUCAUGCUUGUGAGGAGGGCUGUGAUUUAUAUUGUUUUGCAAGGUACAAAAGGAUGGUCCGUUGAAAAUCAAGGAACUUAAUGAAGUUUGUGACAUGUUGGCGUCUUUUAUCACCUUUAACAUGUAAAUGUCACUUUUAUUGUAAAUUUAUGUUUUGUUAACUUUUUAACUAUAUUAUUAUUCA